GACGCAACGCGAAGAACCUUACCAGGUCUUGACAUUGAUGGACGAGAACUAGAGAUAGUUCCUCUUCUUCGGAAGCCAGAAAACAAGGUGGUGCACGGUUGUCGUCAGCUCGUGUCGUGAGAUGUUGGGUUAAGUCCCGCAACGAGCGCAACCCCUACUCUUAUGUUGCCAGCACUUCGGGUGGGGAACUCAUGAGAGACUGCCGCAGACAAUGCGGAGGAAGGCGGGGAUGACGUCAAAUCAUCAUGCCCCUUAUGACCUGGGCUACACACGUACUACAAUGGGAGUUAAUAGACGGAAGCAAUACCGCGAGGUGGAGCAAACCCGAGAAACACUCUCUCAGUUCGGAUCGUAGGCUGCAACUCGCCUACGUGAAGUCGGAAUCGCUAGUAAUCGCAGGUCAGCAUACUGCGGUGAAUACGUUCCGGGCUUGUACACGUCGACGCGGCCG
rnacentral:rRNA from 1 species